rnacentral:rRNA from 1 species
UACGUAGGUGGCGAGCGUUGUCCGGAUUUACUGGGCGUAAAGGGAGCGUAGGCGGACAUUUAAGUGAGAUGUGAAAUACUCGGGCUCAACUUGAGUGCUGCAUUUCAAACUGGAAGUCUAGAGUGCAGGAGAGGAGAAUGGAAUUCCUAGUGUAGCGGUGAAAUGCGUAGAGAUUAGGAAGAACACCAGUGGCGAAGGCGAUUCUCUGGACUGUAACUGACGCUGAGGCUCGAAAGCGUGGGGAGCAAACAGG